AGCAAUGAUGGUGUAAUUUGCGUCUUACCCGGUAUUCAGAGACAGUUGCCUGCUGUCAAAAUUCUGAUGCUGCGGGCUGACGAUUAAAAAAGGCUGAGUG